UGUUAAGUCAUAAGGAACUGGCAUAG
rnacentral:sRNA from 1 species